AAGGAAUUGACGGGGGCCCGCACAAGCGGUGGAUGAUGUGGAUUAAUUCGAUGCAACGCGAAAAACCUUACCUGCUCUUGACAUGUACGGAACUUGCCAGAGAUGGCUUGGUGCCCGAAAGGGAGCCGUAACACAGGUGAUGCAUGGCUGUCGUCAGCUCGUGUCGUGAGAUGUUGGGUUAAGUCCCGCAACGAGCGCAACCCUUGUCAUUAGUUGCCAUCAUUUAGUUGGGCACUGUAAUGAGACUUCCGGUGACAAACCGGAGGAAGGUGGGGAUGACGUCAAGUCAUCAUGGCCAUUAUGAGCAGGGCUUCACACGUCAUACAAUGGUCGGUACAGAGGGUUGCCAAACCGCGAGGUGGAGUUAAUCUCUUAAAGCCGAUCGUAGUCCGGGUUGGAGUCUGCAACUAGAGUCCAUGAAGUCGGAAUCGCUAGUAAUCGCAGGUCAGCAUACUGCGGUGAAUACGUUCACUGGGCCUUGUAGAUCACCGCCC
rnacentral:rRNA from 1 species